CUUCUGUUUCAUGACAGUUUAAAUCACCCUUCUAUAAUUAAAGACUGUUAUUGAAGCUUAUAGGGAUUAUUGAUAGACUCACUGAUGGGGUGAACAGGUGACACAGAUAAGGUUCAGAACUAUAGAUAUAAUACAUUUAUCAAUAUAUUUCUUUGUAUUUUUGUAGAUUUCCUAAAAUUUCACAUUUACAUGCUUUUUUUUCUCCUUACAGAUAAGUUCUGUGAGCGGCUAAAACCAAGGUCAACAUGAAAGGUCAUAGUUAACGGCCACAUCACCAUCUUCUACGACGCUCUGAAGCUGAUGUUUGCUUCAUACUACUGCUUGAACAUUUCAUACCCAGGAAACCAAGGAGAAACGCAAGAGAUUGUGCAAAGAUGCCUUUUUAAGAUGAACCCCGAGAAGGGACCGGAAGUGGAUAAGACCACAUCGAGAAAGAAAUCGUCAGUCAGUCCAAAGGUUCUUAUACUGAUUAACAAGAUUGCGGACUAUGAAAGGAUGGAGUAAAACUUUGAGUGUCAGAUCUUCCUACAUUGCCUGACAGAAAUUCUUGACAGUGUCACAGACUUAAAAUACUUGCUGAUUAUUUGCUUUCAUGGUUGAAUUAUUUUUUUUCAUGCAUCAUCUGUUGUCAAGAUUAAUUAAUCUGUUCACAGGUGGUUCAGUUUUAAGGACAAUUUAAUUAUUAAUUUUUAUUUGUUUACCAAACUGCUAUAUUGUUGCAGUUUUGAAAAAUUAUUUUAUUGUGUGU